rnacentral:rRNA from 1 species
AACCUUUAGACAUACAAAUAUUAAAGGCAACGCCUGCCCAGUGAAUAAUUAAACGGCCGCGGUACCCUAACCGUGCAAAGGUAGCGUAAUCAUUUGUCUACUAAUUAUAGACCAGUAUGAAAGGCAAAAUGAGGGUCUAACUGUCUCUUAUAAUAGAUCUAUAAAACUGAUCUUCUAGUAAAAAAGCUAGAAUGUUCCCAUAAGACCAGAAGACCCUGUGAAGCUUAAACUAAACUAUUAACCCAAAUAAUAACUACUUUCGGUUGGGGCGACCUUGGAAAAAAAAAGAACUUCCAAACACCAUGAACAUAAUUCAUACACAAAGGCCAACAAGCCAAUAAUGACCCAGCACAGCUGAAAACUGAACCAAGUUACUCCAGGGAUAACAGCGCAAUCUUCUUCAAGAGCCCAUAUCAAAAAGAAGGUUUACGACCUCGAUGUUGGAUCAGGACAUCCUAAUGGUGCAGCCGCUAUUAAGGGUUCGUUUGUUCAACGAUUAAAGUCCU